AGUGAACGCUGGCGGCAGGCCUAACACAUGCAAGUCGAGCGGCAGCACGGCAAUAGCAAUAUUGUGGGUGGCGAGCGGCGGACGGGUGAGGAAUGCAUCGGGAUCUACCCUGUCGUGGGGGACAACGUAGGGAAACUUACGCUAAUACCGCAUGAUCUGGAGACAGCAAAGCCGGGGACCUUUGGGCCUGGCGCGAUGGGAUGAGCCGAUGUCCGAUUAGCUAGUUGGCGGGGUAAAGGCCCACCAAGGCGACGAUCGGUAGCUGGUCUGAGAGGACGACCAGCCACACUGGAACUGAGACACGGUCCAGACUCCUACGGGAGGCAGCAGUGGGGAAUAUUGGACAAUGGGGGCAACCCUGAUCCAGCCAUGCCGCGUGGGUGAAGAAGGCC
rnacentral:rRNA from 1 species